CAGGUUCUCUGGAGGUCCUGAGGCAGCUGCUGGGCAUGGGUUGAGCCACUGCACACCCUGCCUGGAGACAGCUCAGCUCCUCCCUUUGCCUUUCAAGAGCAAAUGCCCUGGAGGAGCAGCUGAAGGAACAGGAGCUGAGAGCCUGUGAGAUGGUCCUGGAAGAGACCCGGCGUCAGAAGGAGCUCCUGUGCAAGAUGGAGAGGGAGAAGAGCAUUGAGAUAGAGAACCUGCAGACCAGGCUACAGCAACUGGACGAGGAGAACAGUGAACUCCGGUCCUGCACGCCCUGUCUGAAGGCCAACAUUGAGCGUCUGGAGGAGGAGAAGCAG
rnacentral:sRNA from 1 species